GAGUUUGCACUCUCUCUCUCUCUCUCUCUCUCUCUCUCUCUCUCUCUUUCUCUCUUUAUAAUGAGAGAGAAAGAGAGAGAGAGAGAGAGAGAGAGAGAGAGAGAGAGAGAGAGAGAGAGAAUUUAA
rnacentral:miRNA from 1 species